ACGUGCGGAUUUAUUGGAAAAAGGGACUCAUAUGAGAAGAUGUCUUCUUAUUUGAUGGCUCUGAACCUCCCACCUCUCCUCACCUUCGUUAUGCUAGAGGCACAGUGGAUAUGCUGGGAGAAGGAUCAUGCCAUACUUUUUCUCUAAGCUUCCACUGCUUGAAACAGGAUAUUAAAUACUUGGCAAUAAAGCAGGUUCUGCUUGUUGUUCAGUAACCUUGUAGCCUUCAGCUCUACUCUAAAAUCAUACAGGAGCCGAGCAUCUGAGCAGGGAUCAAUGAUUUGUGUCAGAGAGGAAGGAGGAUAUUAAAGAUACCGGAGGAAACAAAAAAAAGAGAAGCUGACCUUGGAGCAGCCAAAUGUGUAGAGACCCAUUGGUUCAACUUCUAACCCUCAUUACUUGUCCCCUCCCAUCACUGAAUUUAAUCCUUACACGACUCUUGCCAGCCUCUCCUUUGGCACUGCAAGCUGGCUCUUCAGCUUGAUGAGCGGUUCUUGUGCUCAGGCUCUACUGAGUAGGGAGCUGAGGCUGGGGAUGAGAUUAGACAGUUAGUGCUGCUUUUCCAUCUGGGCUCCAGCAGCCCUUGUGGGUGACACCUAUCCAUCGUGUGAAAAAGGUUUCCUAGCACUGUUAGAGCCGAGGAAGGUGUAUGCUGCUUCCUACCUUUGUUAUCAGUCCAGCCCCUUACUUUCAGAGCUGUGUGCUCAUUAGCAGCCACCUUUUUGUAAUGCCCAGGGGGAGCUUUGUUGCUGAUCCUGAUGGGAGAGAAAGCAGCAAGUGCUGAGGUGCCGGUGUCUGCACGUCUCUUGGGUGGUGCUGGAGGUGCUGGUAGGGAGGACACAACCCACAGGAUAAGCACAGGAGCAGGGUUUGAUACCAUGGUUUGCAUAUUGUACUCUGGCUCAACUGUCAGCUACAACCACUUCUAAUGGCCCUCCUUUCCUUUCCCAUUCCUUCCUUAUCUUUUUGUGAACAUUUCCACACUGCUGUUAAACUUGCAGUACACAGGGUGCUGCACCUGCAAAACGAGUACUGUCCCUUGGCCUCUGCUUUUCAGGUAACGGUCAAACUUGUGGGGCAGAUGCAGCUGACGGCUGGUUAGCUGUCACUGUACGCAGCAUCCCAGCAGGCCUGAAGAUCAGCCCUUACACAGAUAGAGCAUUUCUCCUUUGCAAGGGCACGGUUUCCUGUAGGUCUGCCUGAGCUAAAAGAACUUGCCUGCACAGGCAGCAGCUCAGACAGGGGCAAAGUGGAGGUGCAGAGCAGCGGGUACUGUGAUGGGCUGCUCCGGCUGCAACACUGGAAAUGAUGAGUACAUGUUUUGCUUUUCCUUGGAAGUACACGAUUCACUGGUAUCCUUCAGAAAAUCUUACUGCUCACAGAGGGCCAGGGAAGGAGAAGAAUUACCUUUUUUCAUUGAAUGCAGGAGAUCAUGUGGGCGAGAACAGGCUGGUCUAGAGGAUAUUGCAGCCCUGAUGCCCUGCAGGAAAGAUGGAGACCAAGCCGAGAGAGCAGUUCCAGACUGGUAGAAGGAAAAGAUCCAUGACCUCAUACUGGUCUCUGCUCACAGGGGACAGCAGUGGCAACACUGAGCCAUGACGAUUUGGGGACCACCAUGAUGCAGCAGCCUAAAGGAUCAAAUUUGAUGCCAGCACAGAUCAAAAUUGCUGAGCUAUUAAACAAAGAUAUUCACAAGAGACUGACUUUGGCGUCUCCUGGGAUGCAGUGUGGUCUCUGCCUUUAACAACGCACAGCAGCGCGGUUCUUGCAAGGGCUACAGAAAGUUCUCUCAUAGGGGUGAAUGACAAAGCUCCUGUUGAGGCUGUGACAGGGGAAGUUUCUCGUCAGGUAAGUGUUAUGUGUUUGCCACAGGGAAAUGGGUACACGAUUCGCAGUAGGUGAAUUGCUUGUAAUACAUUUCAUUGGAAAAUUUAAAUCUGGAAAUUUAUUUUUUUCAUCUGUAAGCAAAAAGCUUCUACAUCUGUCAUGAAGGAAAUCUUCUUUGAGGCUGAACAAAAUAAAAGAUGGAAGUCCAAAUGAAA